rnacentral:rRNA from 1 species
UACGGGGGGGGCAAGCGUUGUUCGGAAUUACUGGGCGUAAAGGGUGCGUAGGCGGCUUUCUAAGUUGGAUGUGAAAACUAUGGGCUCAACCCAUAGCCUGCAUCCAAAACUGGAGAGCUUGGGUUCUGGAGGGGAAAGCGGAAUUCCUGGUGUAGCGGUGAAAUGCGUAGAUAUCAGGAGGAACACCGGUGGCGAAGGCGGCUUUCUGGACAGACACCGACGCUGAGGAGCGAAAGCCAGGGGAGCAAACGGG